CCUUGACAGUCGCAUCCCGCGACUGACAUUUGCCACGACAAGGAGAUUAACAUG
ncrna:unclassified sequences Mu-gpT-DE RNA